rnacentral:rRNA from 1 species
AGUGAACGCUGGCGGUAGGCCUAACACAUGCAAGUCGAACGGCAGCACAGUAAGAGCUUGCUCUUACGGGUGGCGAGUGGCGGACGGGUGGGGAAUACAUCGGAAUCUACUUUUUCGUGGGGGAUAACGUAGGGAAACUUACGCUAAUACCGCAUACGACCUACGGGUGAAAGAAGGGGAUCUUCGGACCUUGCGCGAUUGAAUGAGCGGAGGUCGGAUUAGCUAGUUGGCGGGGUAAAGGCCCACCAAGGCGACGAUCCGUAGCUGGUCUGAGAGGAUGAUCAGCCACACUGGAACUGAGACACGGUCCAGACUCCUACGGGAGGCAGCAGUGGGGAAUAUUGGACAAAGGGCGCAAGCCUGAUCCAGCCAUACCGCGUGGGUGAAGAAGGCCUUCGGGUUGUAAAGCCCUUUUGUUGGGAAAGAAAAGCAGCAGGUUAAUACCCCGCUGUUCUGACGGUACCCAAAGAAUAAGCACCGGCUAACUUCGUG